GUUGUCGUCAGCUCGUGUCGUGAGAUGUUGGGUUAAGUCCCGCAACGAGCGCAACCCUUAUUGCUAGUUACCAUCAUUGAGUUGGGGACUCUAGCGAGACUGCCAGCGAUAAGCUGGAGGAAGGUGGGGAUGACGUCAAAUCAUCAUGCCCCUUAUGACCUGGGCUACAAACGUGAUACAAUGGCUGGAACAAAGGGAGGCGAAGGGGUGACCUGGAGCGAAACCCAAAAAUACAGUCUCAGUUCGGAUUGAAGUCUGCAACUCGACUUCAUGAAGUCGGAAUCGCUAGUAAUCGCGGAUCAGAACGCCGCGGUGAAUACGUUCUCGGGGUUU
rnacentral:rRNA from 1 species